ensembl:lncRNA
UUGAUUAAUUAGUGCAUUUAUUUGCUUCUGUUAGCAUAAAUAAUCACCUUAUUGCAUCACACAGAAAGUCAGAGGAACGGUUCCACUUGGAGCCACAUGCAAAAACUCAACAUAACAGCGAUAUUCUAUGAGCACUCAUCAUGAAUUUCUUUGUUUGAUGAACCACUUCAGCAAACCAAAUCCCCGACUUUCAAUUUCUGCUUAUCAAGGGCUCACCUCAACUACAGCUGAGACAAGAACGAGUUAGCUUACGACAGACCGCGCAAGACAUACGUUUUCUGUAACGACCGGCAUCAGCGAGCAGCCUGCCCGAGAGCCGGGGGGGGGACCUCCUGGCAAGCAGGGAGCCACCCGCUGACUUAUCCACGGAGGGACCCGGGGCCGCGUCCCUUCUCUCGCUGCCUGCCGCCGUUCAGCCCCCCCUCGGGGCGGCCGGGCACAGGUGUGACGGCAGGCCGCGUCUGGCGCCAGGAGGGGGAGCUCCGCGCAGCGCCCGCGGGCGGCACCUGGCAGCCUGCUCGCCCCCCUAGCUCCGCAGCCCGUGCCAGCGCUCUGGGGGCUGCUCGCUUACGUGCUGACUGGAAAACUGGGCCUUCUCACUUGUCUCGUCCAUGCCAGUAGGCAGCGGUGAGGAGAAACGCGUGGCUGACAAUAUCAAAGAGCUACGCGUUAAUGAAGACCAGACAGAAGAACUUGGUUACGGCCGAGAGUUGCUUCCUUGUUCUUUAAAAAGCCCUUUUGUAAGAGUGCCCUUUAAAAACAUGUACAUACUAAUAAAUCGGAACGCGAAUAAUAGAAUAUAAAUUCGAGCUGGGGCAAUUAAUUUAAGGCGACUUGUUCACACCUGUCACUCGAGAGUUGUUUUCCAGAAGUUCACAUUACUGUGCUUGCAAAAACUCAAGUGCAAAUUUAGAGCUGGGAAUGCAAAGCCUCAAUAGGAUGAAACCACCCAGCUUGGCAAACUGCUGCGUGCGUGCAACACUGGUUUGGGCAAUGGAAGAAAAAACUAGGGCUUUUCUGGGACCCAGACGCAGCAGGGACCCGGAGUUCAGCCUCACAGGUGUCUUUGUGUCCACCAAAAGACGGAUCACAUCGCUUUUUUUUCUUCCCAGCUUUGGAAGUAAGAGAUGAUCUAAGCAAAAAACCCACAAAACUCUUCAGCAGAUAAAGCAGUGAGAGUCUAUGGACGGCACUGCAACUGGGGCUCACUGUGGGGAGCCUGAAGUUCCCAGCCUCCUUAAAGAUGAGUUACAAUAAGGAGUAUCAUCUUUUUUUCCUCCUUACUUCGAAAAAAAAUCUUAAUUUUGCUUCAGAAAAUGGGAAUGUAUUUGGAAAACCUUCUUUUUUUUUUUUUUUUUUCUUUUUUUCCCAAAGAAAAUGGAAUCAUUUCUUUCCAAUCCACACUAAAUGAUAGAAUCAACAAAAAAUCCCCUCGAAUAUUUCACCAGGGGAAAAAAAAACCUUCACUGAUUUCCACAGGGUCAGGAUUUUAUCUUUGGCUGAUAUCUGCCUACCGAUGCCACAUUGCUCUGUACCUCUGCCUGGUAGAACGAACAAGAACUGUGCUACCGAUCCGAUCAGCCACCCUUACUGACCUCUUUAAGAUGUUAUCCAGAAUCCACAUUGAGCGCUGCUGAACCAGGUUUCCUUAUCAGAAAUAUAGGCUUUCACACAAGAAAUGUGUGCUGUCACAGUUCAGUAGAUGUAUUUAACGUUAGGGUCUCUGUAACGUAAACACCAGAUUUAUUUUUCUUAACUUUUUGGAGAUGUUCAGAUCAAUGCCACUCUAUGACUGAAAUAUUUAUGGCUUCUGCAGAUUCCGAUAUUCUGCUCUCCCUUAUGGGUUCAUGAACUACCACACUAAAACAUAAAAGCCUCCCUUUUUUAACCUUUGCCUCCCCAUUAACGCACGGAACAAUCAGACAGCUUCCAAAUCUUAUUUCAGUACCUACGAGUGUCAGAUGGUGCCUAAGCAUUCUGAAUGCAUGAAAUUCAGUCUUGACAGUUGCAUGAACUUCCGUCUUGACGGUUGAUGGUCCUCCAUAUGUUGCCACUGGAAGAACAACUUCUGAAGAAUAUUGAGACCGUGGCUUUUAGCCAGUUGUUGAUGAGGUUCUGAGGGACCGUGGGCUGUUUUUAGGAGCUUACUAAAAGUAGCUGAGAAAACUGAGCCUACUGUCAGGAGACACGAGUGAACAUCUGCAUUCAAAAGCCUUCGCGGUGAGCGUUUGGGAAAAGAAGUCUGGAAGUCCUCGGUUUGGGUGAGCAAGAAGUGAGGGUCAGAAUUCAGAACUGGGAGAGGUGUUCUAUUUUCAACUACCAACUGUUAGUCAGGAAGAGGAAUGUCAAAUUUGAUCCUGAAGACGCUCUCUGUAACCUGCUGAAGCCCAUCCGCAGCGUUUGGGCUGGCAGUUACAAAGUCCCUUCUGACAUUAAAGGGAAUUCUGUUUAUGCUGGGAGUUUAGGAUUAAUCUUUCUGUCAAAUUAUCAACUCGAACUGUCAAAUUGAUGCAGCGCAACGGCACUUCAUUACAAAAUCUAUAGCAAGCGUUGCAAACAAGUAGUCUAUUAUGUGUUUUCAGAUGUUUCACUAAACAAUAACCAUUCAGGGCAACAUGGUUAUUCUGUGUAGCAAAAGGUCCGAGAUUUUCACUAAAGUUGUGUUAUCAGCACUACGGAGAAACCAGUGAUGUGUCCCUAAUGCAAAAAUUCAUUUUGCCUUCUUCCUCAGAGUGAUUUUGUGAAUGAGCAAGGUGCUGGUGCUUCAGAGCAGGAAGGUUCUGUGAGGUUGGCUCUCAGAGCUUUCAAACCUGCAGCUCUGACGCUACACGACGGUGCUUAUAAGCAACUUCCCCUCGUGCUGCCUAUCCCGUCCCUGCCAUGGGAGAGAGAUGCUGAGAUCCUGGGAGCACCUCUUGCGUUUGAUGAGAGGUUGCGCACGCGGACUCAUCGGUAACAGAAUCCUGUGAAUAGAGAAGAAGGACGUGGUUGCUGCUGGUGGUGCGGUGCAGCAGGAGGAAGCCCCGUAUUUUUGGAGCUUACCUGUGGAGCUGCGAGUUAGGUCCCAGAAGGUUCAGAACACAUUACAUUUUAAACAUACAGCAGGCAAGAAAAGACUAAUCUUGCACACGAAGGGACCUGGUGUUCCCAGCUUUGGAUUCUCUCGUGCUGCCAGGGGAGAAGCAGCACCUCGCCUGGCCGCGGCCGUGACCCCGCUGCUCUGGAGCGCGCUGGGAUCCCUCAGCGGGCUGAGGGCUGCUGCUCUCCCGCCAGUGACGCUCUCUACUCUCGCAGCUGAGGCCACACAAAACCCCGCUUUCUUCCCAUUCCCGGUGCCACGGGGGGUUGGGCUCCCCGUCCCUCCCCACUGUGCCCCGGCAAGCGAGGCUCCCUUCAGCCCUGAAGCGAUCAAAGGAGUUUUGCUCAGUAUUGCGCUCAGAAAACCACCGGCUGUUUUGCGAAGUGUAAACGAGACGUUCUCGCACGCAGCACCGACUGAUUUCUGUCGGACUCAGCCGGGGUUUCGCGAGGAGUCCGUUCAUCCCCACGUGGAACUCACUUCACCCAUCUUUCAGCCGCUCUCCCUCGAAAACGCGCCGUUUCACGCCGCAGCGCGACCCGCCCGUACGAUCGCGACGCCGACCGCGGGCACCCCGGCC